UGGGGAAUUUUGGACAAUGGGCGAAGCCUGAUCCAGCAAUGCCGCGUGUGUGAAGAAGGCCUUCGGGUUGUAAAGCACUUUUGUCCGGAAAGAAAUCCUUGGCUCUAAUACAGUCGGGGGAUGACGGUACCGGAAGAAUAAGCACCGGCUAACUACGUGCCAGCAGCCGCGGUAAUACGUAGGGUGCAAGCGUUAAUCGGAAUUACUGGGCGUAAAGCGUGCGCAGGCGGUUUGCUAAGACCGAUGUGAAAUCCCCGGGCUCAACCUGGGAACUGCAUUGGUGACUGGCAGGCUAGAGUAUGGCAGAGGGGGGUAGAAUUCCACGUGUAGCAGUGAAAUGCGUAGAGAUGUGGAGGAAUACCGAUGGCGAAGGCAGCCCCCUGGGCAAUACUGACGCUCAUGCACGAAAGCGUGGGGAGCAAACAGGAUUAGAUACCCUGGUAGUCCACGCCCUAAACGAUGUCAACUAGUUGUUGGGGAUUCAUCUCCUUAGUAACGUAGCUAACGCGUGAAGUUGACCGCCUGGGGAGUACGGUCGCAAGAUUAAAACUCAAAUGAAUUGACGGGGUCAUAGCUGUUUCCU
rnacentral:rRNA from 1 species